UACACUACUGAUGGGAAUGUAAAAUGGUGCUGCUGCUUCGGAAAACAGUCUUGCAGUUCCUCAAAUGCUUAAACAUAGAGUUACCAUAUGACCCAGCAAUUCCAUGCUUAGGUUUAUACCCCAGAGAAAUGAAAACUGAUAUCCACAGAAAAACUUGUACAUGAAUGUUUAUAGUAGUGUAGGUAUAAUAGCCAAAAAGUAGAAACAACCCAAAUAUUCAUAAGUUGAUGAAUGGAUAAACAAAAUGUAUAUGUAAUAUUGUUGAAUAUUACUCAUCAAUUAAAAUAAUGAAACACUGAUACAUACUACAACAUGGAUGACCCCUGAAAACAUUAUGCUAAGUAAAAGAAACCAGUUACGGUUUUCUCUGUAUAUAUGCCCUAUAAUUUGAAACGAUAUUUGCACCCCAAUGUUUGUUGCAGCACUAUUCACAGUAGCCAAGACAUGGAAGCAACCUAAAUGUCCAUU